GACUUGAGGGGAGCUGCCCUCAGUACGAGAGGACCAGGGUGGACAGACCUCUGGUGUGCCAGCUGUCCCGCCAGGGGCACCGCUGGGUAGCCAUGUCUGGCAGCGAUAACCGCUGAAAGCAUCUAAGCGGGAAGCGCGCCCCAAGAUGAGGUCCCCCACCGGGUGAACCGGGUAAGACCGCCGGGAGACUACCGGUUAGAUAGGCGGGAGGUGGAAGCGCAGCAAUGCGUUGAGCCGACCCGUACUAACGGUCGAGGGCUUGCC
rnacentral:rRNA from 1 species